AGAGUUUGAUCCUGGCUCAGGAUGAACGCUAGCGGCAGGCUUAACACAUGCAAGUCGAGGGGCAGCACAGGUAGCAAUACUUGGUGGCGACCGGCGCACGGGUGAGUAACGCGUAUGCAACCUACCCUUCACAGGGGGAUAGCCCGGAGAAAUUCGGAUUAAUAUUCCAUAGUAUCAUUGAUUCGCAUGGAUUAAUGAUUAAAACUUCGGUGGUAAAGGAUGGGCAUGCGUGCCAUUAGCUAGUUGGUAGGGUAACGGCCUACCAAGGCGAUGAUGGCUAGGGGUUCUAAAAGGAUGAUCCCCCACACUGGUACUGAGACACGGACCAGACUCCUACGGGAGGCAGCAGUGAGGAAUAUUGGUCAAUGGGUGAGAGCCUGAACCAGCCAUGCCGCGUGCAGGAUGACGGCCCUAGUGGUUGUAAACUGCUUUUUAUACGGGAAUAACCCUUCAGACGUGUCUGGAGCUGUAUGUACCGUAAGAAUAAGCAUCGGCUAACUCCGUGCCAGCAGCCGCGGUAAUACGGAGGAUGCAAGCGUUAUCCGGAUUUAUUAGGUUUAAAGGGUGCGUAGGCUGUAGUGUAAGUCAGUGGUGAAAUCUUCCGGCUCAACCGGGAAACUGCCAUUGAUACUGCAUUACUUGAGUUAAGUCGAGGUAGGCGGAAUGUGUAAUGUAGCGGUGAAAUGCAUAGAGAUUACACAGAACACCGAUUGCGAAGGCAGCUUACUAAGCUUAUACUGACGGUAAUGCACGAAAGCGUGGGGAGCGAACAGGAUUAGAUACCCUGGUAGUCCACGCUGUAAACGAUGAGCACUCGCUGUUGGCGAUAUUACAGUCAGUGGCUGAGCGAAAGCAUUAAGUGCUCCACCUGGGGAGUACGUUGGCAACAAUGAAACUCAAAGGAAUUGACGGGGGCCCGCACAAGCGGUGGAACAUGUGGUUUAAUUCGAUGAUACGCGAGGAACCUUACCUGGGUUUAAAUUUUAGUAGAUUUUAGGCGAAAGUCUAUUUCCCUUCGGGGCUGCUUAGAAGGUGCUGCAUGGCUGUCGUCAGCUCGUGCCGUGAGGUGUCGGGUUAAGUCCCAUAACGAGCGCAACCCCUAUCGUUAGUUGCCAUCGAGUCAAGUCGGGGACUCUAACGAGACUGCCACCGUAAGGUGAGAGGAAGGUGGGGAUGACGUCAAGUCAGCACGGCCCUUACGUCCAGGGCUACACACGUGUUACAAUGGCCAGUACAAAGGGCAGCUACAUGGUGACAUGUUGCUAAUCUCAAAAACUGGUCUCAGUUCGGAUCGAAGUCUGCAACUCGACUUCGUGAAGCUGGAAUCGCUAGUAAUCGCGUAUCAGCAACGACGCGGUGAAUACGUUCCCGGGCCUUGUACACACCGCCCGUCAAGCCAUGGAAGCCGGGGGUACCUGAAGUCUGUAACCGCAAGGAGCGGCCUAGGGUAAAACUGGUGACUGGGGCUAAGUCGGAACAAGGUA
rnacentral:rRNA from 1 species